GCUCGGCGAAAGCCGGAUUAAUACCGCAUAAGCUCUGAGGAGGAAAGCGGGGGACCGUAAGGCCUCGCGCGUUUGGAGCGGCCGAUGGCAGAUUAGGUAGUUGGUGGGGUAAAGGCUUACCAAGCCUACGAUCUGUAGCUGGUCUGAGAGGACGACCAGCCACACUGGGACUGAGACACGGCCCAGACUCCUACGGGAGGCAGCAGUGGGGAAUUUUGGACAAUGGGCGAAAGCCUGAUCCAGCAAUGCCGCGUGCAGGAUGAAGGCCUUCGGGUUGUAAACUGCUUUUGUACGGAACGAAAAGGCGCCUACUAAUACUGGGUGUUGAUGACGGUACCGUAAGAAUAAGCACCGGCUAACUACGUGCCAGCAGCCGCGGUAAUACGUAGGGUGCAAGCGUUAAUCGGAAUUACUGGGCGUAAAGCGUGCGCAGGCGGUGUUGUAAGACAGUUGUGAAAUCCCCGGGCUCAACCUGGGAACUGCAUCUGUGACUGCAAUGCUGGAGUGCGGCAGAGGGGGAUGGAAUUCCGCGUGUAGCAGUGAAAUGCGUAGAUAUGCGGAGGAACACCGAUGGCGAAGGCAAU
rnacentral:rRNA from 1 species